rnacentral:rRNA from 1 species
AGGACUAACGCUGGCGGCGUGCCUAACACAUGCAAGUCGAACGAAGUAGCAAUACUUAGUGGCAGACGGGUGAGUAACACGUAGUCAACCUGCCCUUCAAUGGGGGAUAACUAGCCGAAAGGUUAGCUAAUACCGCAUACGAUCUCUGAGUGGCAUCACUCGGCGAUGAAAGGAGUAAUCCGUUGAAGGAGGGGACUGCGUCCCAUUAGUUAGUUGGUGGGGUAAUGGCCUACCAAGACUCCGAUGGGUAGCUGGCUUGAGAGAGCGACACCCGCACACUGGAACUGAGACACGGUCCAGACUCCUACGGGAGGCAGCAGUGAGGAAUUUUCCGCAAUGGGGGAAACCCUGACGGAGCGACGCCGCGUGUGGGAAGAAGGCCUUCGGGUCGUAAACCACUGUCGAGGGGGACGAUAUUGACGGUACCCCUGGAGGAAGCCUCGGCUAACUACGCGCCAGCAGCCGC